UCACUCAUUUCUUGUUGGAAUUAGGUUCCGUUUGAGGCAAAACGAAGCUCGUGUCAAGCUCUAUACAUCCAUACCAUCAAUUUCCGGUUUUGAGUCUUCCUUGGAGCUCGAAUUUGAGGACCCAUUUUCUAGGGUUUUGGUGCAAUCCUGAGGUCUUGGAAAAGAACCGGUGGACGACAAUCCACCCCAACUUUGAAAGUUGCUAGAGGAGCAUUUUCCUUGUUAUUUUGUAAUAGACUACUCCUUUGUUCAUCCCUCAUUUUUGUAAAAUUCCAAAGGUGUAAUGAUGUAAAUUUCUUUUGAAGAACCAUGAUCAUGUAAUACACUUAUGAUACUUGAUGACAUAUGGGAUGCGAACUUGAUGA